rnacentral:rRNA from 1 species
AAUGGGUCAGCGACUUAUAUUCUGUAGCAAGGUUAACCGAAUAGGGGAGCCGAAGGGAAACCGAGUCUUAACUGGGCGUUAAGUUGCAGGGUAUAGACCCGAAACCCGGUGAUCUAGCCAUGGGCAGGUUGAAGGUUGGGUAACACUAACUGGAGGACCGAACCGACUAAUGUUGAAAAAUUAGCGGAUGACUUGUGGCUGGGGGUGAAAGGCCAAUCAAACCGGGAGAUAGCUGGUUCUCCCCGAAAGCUAUUUAGGUAGCGCCUCGUGAAUUCAUCUCCGGGGGUAGAGCACUGUUUCGGCAAGGGGGUCAUCCCGACUUACCAACCCGAUGCAAACUGCGAAUACCGGAGAAUGUUAUCACGGGAGACACACGGCGGGUGCUAACGUCCGUCGUGAAGAGGGAAACAACCCAGACCGCCAGCUAAGGUCCCAAAGUCAUGGUUAAGUGGGAAACGAUGUGGGAAGGCCCAGACAGCCAGGAUGUUGGCUUAGAAGCAGCCAUCAUUUAAAGAAAGCGUAAUAGCUCACUGGUCGAGUCGGCCUGCGCGGAAGAUGUAACGGGGCUAAACCAUGCACCGAAGCUGCGGCAGCGACGCUUAUGCGUUGUUGGGUAGGGGAGCGUUCUGUAAGCCUGUGAAGGUGUGCUGUGAGGCAUGCUGGAGGUAUCAGAAGUGCGAAUGCUGACAUAAGUAACGAUAAAGCGGGUGAAAAGCCCGCUCGCCGGAAGACCAAGGGUUCCUGUCCAACGUUAAUCGGGGCAGGGUGAGUCGACCCCUAAGGCGAGGCCGAAAGGCGUAGUCGAUGGGAAACAGGUUAAUAUUCCUGUACUUGGUGUUACUGCGAAGGGGGGACGGAGAAGGCUAUGUUGGCCGGGCGACGGUUGUCCCGGUUUAAGCGUGUAGGCUGGUUUUCCAGGCAAAUCCGGAAAAUCAAGGCUGAGGCGUGAUGACGAGGCACUACGGUGCUGAAGCAACAAAUGCCCUGCUUCCAGGAAAAGCCUCUAAGCAUCAGGUAACAUCAAAUCGUACCCCAAACCGACACAGGUGGUCAGGUAGAGAAUACCAAGGCGCUUGAGAGAACUCGGGUGAAGGAACUAGGCAAAAUGGUGCCGUAACUUCGGGAGAAGGCACGCUGAUAUGUAGGUGAAGUCCCUUGCGGAUGGAGCUGAAAUCAGUCGAAGAUACCAGCUGGCUGCAACUGUUUAUUAAAAACACAGCACUGUGCAAACACGAAAGUGGACGUAUACGGUGUGACGCCUGCCCGGUGCCGGAAGGUUAAUUGAUGGGGUCAGCGCAAGCGAAGCUCUUGAUCGAAGCCCCGGUAAACGGCGGCCGUAACUAUAACGGUCCUAAGGUAGCGAAAUUCCUUGUCGGGUAAGUUCCGACCUGCACGAAUGGCGUAAUGAUGGCCAGGCUGUCUCCACCCGAGACUCAGUGAAAUUGAACUCGCUGUGAAGAUGCAGUGUACCCGCGGCAAGACGGAAAGACCCCGUGAACCUUUACUAUAGCUUGACACUGAACAUUGAGCCUUGAUGUGUAGGAUAGGUGGGAGGCUUUGAAGUGUGGACGCCAGUCUGCAUGGAGCCGACCUUGAAAUACCACCCUUUAAUGUUU